ensembl:lncRNA
GGCCCGGGGGAGGGGGAGGAGCGUGGGUGCAUGGUUGUGUCCCACUGCGAGGAGGGGAGCGUCUCGUUGUGGGGCGCGGGCGCAAAUCGUUUUUCUCUCGAGGAGCGCGAGGCUGGGAGGACAUGAGGCUUUUUUUUUUUUUUUUUUUUUUUUUCCCUUCUUCACAGAAGAAACGGAUCGAACGGGAGCAGAGGAGUUAAAUUGAAUAGCAGGAAUGAAGCCAGAAAGGAAUGCCGCCUGCAGAUUGUGAUUAUCAAUAAUCCCGGACCCGAACUGCUGGUGGCAACGUAAAAACCUGUGACAGCUUUAUAUCUCGACUGGCCGAUGCUUAGAGAAGCGUUGGUCUAUUAAGCCUCUUCCUUUAUUUCAGGAAAAGGCUCCUGUAUUACUUAAAGAGGGUGUAAUUUAUGGUGCGCUGCCUCUUUAAAAUGCUAUAUGUAAAGUUGGGUUGCCAGGUCCUGUUUUUAUGGAUACCAGAUGUAGGGAAAAAGCAGUUUAUGUUCCAACAAGUCUACGGAGUGGAUGUGCACUUCCUAGCUGUUAGCAAAACAUUGGCUAAUUACAGUGCUGAUUCCUGUGUUCUCUAUCAGACACCCCGCAAAGCGUGCGUUGUGUUUAAGUGUAAGGGAGCAUGAUGGCAUCAGCGCUUUUUUCUCCCACAAAACAGUUCAGUAAUUGUGAAGAAUUCCAGCAAGCUCAGUAAACACCGCCAUCGAGAUUGGGAAGAGCACUUUUGUUGUUGUUGUUUUCCCUGUUUGGAAACUGGAGAAAGUGGCAUCUGAGUGGUGAACAGAUGGCACAAAUCAGUCAGCACAAAUCCUGCCCGCAGUGGUGCUCCCAUACUGAAAUUAACCUCAAUUUUGGACACUGAUAUGGUUGUUGAGGAAGUUUGGAGGAGUGCGCUUCCCUACAUGUGGUAUAUUGCUUUCAAAUAUGGCAUUUCUUUUUAUUUUUGGAGUGGCUGAAUAAAUGAUUAUUAACACCUCGUUCUUUCAUAGAUGGAACAUUUUGUUGUUGUUGUUUUAUUUUAAAAACUCAAUUUUUAAAUAAAGAUUC